UUUAUGACCGUUGUUUUUUGUCCAACGUUUGACUAUUCGUCUUAUUCAAAAAAAUUAUGUAAUUAUCAUUUAUUUUAUUGUGACUUGAUUCAUCAUCAAAUGCUAUUUAAGCAUGACAUAAACAUUUUCAUAUUUUCACAAAAAAAUUAAAUAAAACGAAUGGUCAAACGUUGCUAAAAAGUCAACGGUGUCAUUAAU
rnacentral:pre_miRNA from 1 species